AAGUAAGAAACAAAAAAUUGUAAUUAGUUUCGACCUAAUAUCAUGAUGGUAAUCCAUCCUUAUUUA
rnacentral:tRNA from 1 species